UUUCUUCGGAAUGAAGUUUUAGUGACUGAGUGGCGGACGGGUGAGUAACGCGUGGGUAACCUGCCUCACACAGGGGGAUAACAGUUGGAAACGACUGCUAAUACCGCAUAAGCGCACGGUAUCGCAUGAUACAGUGUGAAAAACUCCGGUGGUAUAAGAUGGACCCGCGUCUGAUUAGCUUGUUGGUGAGGUAACGGCCCACCAAGGCGACGAUCAGUAGCCGACUUGAGAGAGUGAUCGGCCACAUUGGGACUGAGACACGGCCCAAACUCC
rnacentral:rRNA from 1 species